rnacentral:lncRNA from 1 species
GUCAAGUGGUUUAGCUAAAUUCUAUAUAUGUCCAAUUCAGCUAAAUUCUAUAUAUGUCCAGGGUCAAAAUUAAUUCAUUAUCAUUAAAACUAAAUUACAACUAAAGAUCGCUUAGACAAACCUCUCCCUCCUCUCGAGGUUUUGGCGUUAAAUGGAGAUCAUGUCCUCUAUCAAAUUGAAAUGAAUCGAGCGGAGUUUCACUAGUAUGUAAACUUGCUUUCACUCUACGAUCCACGGUGUCGUCAUCACUGACCAAAAUCAUUUUCUCUUCAGUUUUUGACAUUGUUUUUCCAUCCAGAGAUGUACGAUUUUGACUUUUCACAUUUGAAGGUGGAUCGGGAGCAACUGGUUGUUUGCUUGAUCCUCCGUGAUACUUUGAUGUCAACUCUCCCAAUAUUUUCUCUAUAUUUUCCAAUCUCAGAAUGAAAAUUGGAAUCAAGAGAAUGUAACUGCGAAGUUCAAAUCAAAAUGGCAAAUUAGAUUAUUGAAUAAUAAAAACCUACAUCAAAUUGAGGAACGACAUAUACACAUGUAACAUACUAUGCAUUCAGCUUAACAUUCACGAUGAACAGGAACCAACGAAAGGCACCAUCGUUAAUUGGAACAUAAAUCUAACCAAAAAAAUCAGUCACCAUCGAUAAUUGGAACAUAAAUCUAACAAACAAAAAUAAGUAUUUUUCUCAUAGAAGAUGUUUUACAAAAAGUAAAAUUGUAAUCAAUUGAGAGUGUAGAAAGUAACCUUUUGGCAAGCUCCAACGGUAAGUGCUGAUUGCUAUAAAAGAACAAUAAGUAAACAAGUGAUAUGUCAAUAAAUGCACAAGUAUUGAAAAAAAAUCUUAUUGUACAGAGCAAUGUUUGAAAAUUAUUAUAGAUAAACAACAACUUCAAUUCACAUAGAAAUAAUAGUGGUGGAUACUUACUGCAUAUAUUGUCGGUAAAUACCAAUUUAUUGGUGCAUCACUCCAUUUAGCCCAAGCAUGAAAGGUUUUCCGACACUUGCUACUUGUGCAAAACCAUCAAUGUCAGCUCCAACGGUAAGUGCUGAUUGCUAUAAAAGAACAAUAAGUAAACAAGUGAUAUGUCAAUAAAUGCACAAGUAUUGAAAAAAAAUCUUAUUGUACAGAGCAAUGUUUGAAAAUUAUUAUAGAUAAACAACAACUUUAAUUCACAUAAAAAUAAUAGUGGUGGAUACUUACUGCAUAUAUUGUCGGUAAAUACCAGUUUAUUGGUGCAUCACUGCGUUUAGCCCGUUCAUAUAGUGUGAAGUGAUAUGCUAUCAUGGUGAGAAUCUAAAACAGUGGUCAAUAAGUGAGAACUUAGUAUUCAAUUUUGCAAUAAGGCAUCCAAACAUAUAGUACAAUGAUGUGAGUGCCAAUGCACCACAAACCUCUCCACUCAUAGCCGUGUUAGGCAAAAGGCUCAUGAAAUUAUGUCCGGAGAUAAAUUGAUCAUCAGUAGAGACAACGAUUUCGCUGAAAACACAAAUAAGUAAUAAAGUGUUAGCUAAUCAAUAUAUAUGUACAGGGGAAUAAAAAAUACAAAGCCCUAUAAACCACAAGUACCUUCUGUUACCAUCUUUAUCAAAUGCAUAUUGAAAAGGGGGUUAUUUACAUAGAAAGGACCAGCUUUAAACUUAGCCUUCGCUCCCUGAGACACUUUAUCAUAAGGAGAGAGUUGGUAUCGUCUAGGCCUUCUGUUCCGUGCUGGUCGUGUUGCUGGUACGCUCAUGCUAGUGGAGGUCUGGAAGUCUUGCUUAGUGUCAAGUGGUUCAGCUAAAUUCUAUAUAUGUCCAGGGUCAAAAUUAAUCCAUUAUCAUUAAAACUAAAUUACAACUAAAGAUCGCUUAGACAAACCUCUCCCUCCUCUCGAGGUAUUGGCGUUAAAUGGAGAUCAUGUCCUCUAUCAAAUUGAAAUGAAUUGAGCGGAGUUUCACUAGUAUAUGCAGUAGUCCCAAUACAGCCCAACAUAAUAUCAAAGGCUCGUAAACUUGCUUUCACUCUACGAUCCACGGUGUCGUCAUCACUGACCAAAAUCAUUUUCUCUUCAGUUUUUGACAUUGUUUUUCCAUCCAGAGAUGUACGAUUUUGACUGUUCAAAUUUGAAGGUGGAUCGGGAGCAACUGGUUGUUUGCUUGAUCCUCCGUGAUACUUUGAUGUCAACUCUCCCAAUAUUUUCUCUAUAUUUUCCAAUCUCCGUUCAAUGGUUUGGAACGACUCUUUGUUUUGUGCGACGAAUGACCCAAACCUUUCCAUUAGUAACUGAAAAGCAUCAUUAUUCGCAUUGUUCCACCCAUGAGGUUCUGCUUGUUCAGGCUUAUGAAGCCGAUCAGGGUCACGCAUCGAAACCUAAAAUAAUUAAUAAAAUAAUAACAAUUUAGUCCAAAAAUAUGGUAAUUGAUUUCAUUAAAAUAGUAUGCAUGUAUUCUAUACCUUAUUGCUUUUAAUGCCACCAAGCUUUUUUUGCCAUUGGAUCAUCAGUAGAGACAACGAUUUCGCUGAAAACACAAAUAAGUAAUAAAGUGUUAGCUAAUCAAUAUAUAUGUACAGGGGAAUAAAAAAUACAAAGCCCUAUAAACCACAAGUACCUUCUGUUACCAUCUUUAUCAAAUGCAUAUUGAAAAGGGGGUUAUUUACAUAGAAAGGACCAGCUUUAAACUUAGCCUUCGCUCCCUGAGACACUUUAUCAUAAGGAGAGAGUUGGUAUCGUCUAGGCCUUCUGUUCCGUGCUGGUCGUGUUGCUGGUACGCUCAUGCUAGUGGAGGUCUGGAAGUCUUGCUUAGUGUCAAGUGGUUCAGCUAAAUUCUAUAUAUGUCCAGGGUCAAAAUUAAUCCAUUAUCAUUAAAACUAAAUUACAACUAAAGAUCGCUUAGACAAACCUCUCCCUCCUCUCGAGGUAUUGGCGUUAAAUGGAGAUCAUGUCCUCUAUCAAAUUGAAAUGAAUUGAGCGGAGUUUCACUAGUAUAUGCAGUAGUCCCAAUACAGCCCAACAUAAUAUCAAAGGCUCGUAAACUUGCUUUCACUCUACGAUCCACGGUGUCGUCAUCACUGACCAAAAUCAUUUUCUCUUCAGUUUUUGACAUUGUUUUUCCAUCCAGAGAUGUACGAUUUUGACUGUUCAAAUUUGAAGGUGGAUCGGGAGCAACUGGUUGUUUGCUUGAUCCUCCGUGAUACUUUGAUGUCAACUCUCCCAAUAUUUUCUCUAUAUUUUCCAAUCUCCGUUCAAUGGUUUGGAACGACUCUUUGUUUUGUGCGACGAAUGACCCAAACCUUUCCAUUAGUAACUGAAAAGCAUCAUUAUUCGCAUUGUUCCACCCAUGAGGUUCUGCUUGUUCAGGCUUAUGAAGCCGAUCAGGGUCACGCAUCGAAACCU